rnacentral:miRNA from 10 species
UGAGGCAGGAGAAUUGCUUGAACCCAGGAGGUGGAGAUUGCAGUGAGCCGAGAUCGAGCCACUGCACUCCAACCUGGGUGACAGAGUGAGACUCCAUCUC